AGACCCACGGCGAACGGCUGCGUAACACGUUGGUACUUGCCCCGAACUCAGGGAGUAAACCCGCCGAAAAGGUGGAGUAAUACCGGAUGCCCUCGCAAGAGGAAAGAUUUAUCGGUUCGGGAAAGGCCUGCGGCCUAUCAGGUAGUUGGUAAGGUAACGGCUUACCAAGCCUAUGACGGGUAGCUGAUCUGAGAGGAUGAUCAGCCAGAAUGGAACUGAGACACGGUCCAU
rnacentral:rRNA from 1 species